UGAAAUUAUGUUUUUCAAAGCGCGGAGAAUACUUUCAAGGGAUGUAAUGUUUCACUAUUUGAGUCGAAUGCUUUUGAGAUAUCGUACAAUACACAUUACAUAUGGAACAGCCCUCGUAUGUAGUAGUACACAAGUUAAGAAGGGGGAGAGAAAUGAUCAAUAAACUGAUGAAUAGAUAUUCAAAAUCAAUCAGAUCGGUGGUAAUAUACGAUUAUUUAAUUGUGUAUAUUUACAAAACAACAGAAACAUAUCAUCUACCUGGUAUAACUUUGAAAAACGUAACCCAAUAAUAAAUCAAUAAAAUCAAUCACAAUUGUGAAAAAAUCAUUUUUGUUUGAGGCCAGGCUAUCUGUUGAUUUGGGUUGGAGCCAAAUUUGGGGCCAGUCCAACUUUGAAGUCAGGUCAGGCCAUUGGGAACAGGCCACGUUUUAUAAUAUUGUGAGGUUUUUGUAUUUUUAUACAUGUAUGUACUUCCCCAUGAAAUAUUUUCUUACUUUUGUUGAAGCGAGCACACAACAAUUUAAACUAUUAAAAACACUUCUGUAGAUUAUAACCUAUAGAAUGUAUCUAGCAUUAUAUUCACGAGAUAUUUCUAAUGAUAUAUUGAGCAUAUUCAUAAUAAUGCGUUUUUGUGUGUACAUAUCAACAUCAUGCAGUUUGAAGGAUCGUAUGUUAGAAUUAACGUGUGUCCAUUAUAGAAAUUACUGCAAGUUAGCGAAGAUACGCUCGCUUCUACGGGAAUUCCAUGUUACACGUAUUAUUACAAAUGAAUUACCUUGCUUUAUUCAUGCAUACCAUUGUGAAAUAGUAUAUUGGGCUAUGUAUACCAUUGUGAAAUAGUAUAUUGGGCUGCAGAUCUCAUUUUUCGCGUCAUGUGUAUCUCUACUUUCUCUUUUGCUUGACGUUGUACCGCGCACGUUACAUAUGUCAUUUCCGGUGGCGUUUUACCUAUCUGUUAAAGGAUCCGCCAACGAAAUAUUAUUGCCCCAGUAAAUUUUGGUAUUAAUACCAGAACUAUUGCUUUGGAGGUAAUUAAUUAAUUACUUAGAUUAGAUUGAAUUAGACUAGUGUUAUUUUCCAGUUUAUUAAUAGUUCAAUGUUAAUUCUAGUUAUAUAUGAACUAUUUUCCAGUCACAAUUUUGGUUGGAUUUCCAACGGAAUCCGUUCCCAUUGGAACGAAAUUGUUGGACGAGGGUAUAAAAGAGGAAGCGCGCGUCCCCACGGGGACUCCAACUUUUUCUACUUUAUCAGAUAGAUGUAGGUAUUAUUUUACGUUAGAAAUGAUUAGGUUUUAGUAAGAGGGGGGAUGAAGUAAAUUUUAUUGCUAUAUUAUGUGACUUUCAGUGAGUUGUAAUAUUCAUUGUUAGGGAUACAGUAUUUUAUUUCUAUUAGGAUUAUAGACGACUGCAGCCUUGCGCUAUAUUUUUUUAGAUUGUGUUCGUUCAGUGUCAUAAUUUAUUAACUCUAUUUGUUAUUUCGUUGAAUAAACCUUGUAAACUUUAAUUCAUCUCUUUAUUACUUGCUAGUAAAUUAUUUGGAGUCCAUCGCGAACGAGUCUACUGCAAUUCACGGUCCAGUGAUCGAACCACUAGACCGCCCAAUAUGAUUUCCACCAAUGCAUGCUGGAUCUAUGCACCACGUGAGGGUUAUCUAAUUCAUAGAAAUACAAAAGAAGCUAGACUAUGUGUAUUUACUAAAUUCAUCGGGAUGGAUACACCCAAAUUCUCUCUAAUAUCGACGAGGAUUUUGAUGAUGAUAAUUUCAAU